rnacentral:rRNA from 1 species
UAUUCAUACGGUACAUACAAAAUCCUACACGUAGGAAACUUUAUUCCCGUAUAAAAGAAGUUUACAAUCCGUAGGACCUUCAUCCUUCACGCUACUUGGCUGGUUCAGGCUCUCGCCCAUUGACCAAUAUUCCUCA